AUUCCCUCUGAAGCAGAAAUCUCAAGUAAAAGAAAAAAAUCAUCACAUUUAAAAACUUGGUGGAAAACUACUUGCACAAAAAAAUUGGUAGCUUAUAUUCGGAUAAUGGAAGUGAAUUGUGGCCUCACGACAUUACUUUCAGUUGAAUGGUAUCUCUCACUUCACCUCACGACCUUACACUCUAUAACACAAUGGCAUCUUAGAGAAAAAGCAUCUCCAUAUAGUUGAACUGGUCUCACACUUCUGCCUCAAGCAUCAGCUUUGAAACAAUAUUGGCAGCAUUCAUUUUCUGUUUCGUUAUAUCUGAUAAAUCACUAUCCAACUCCACUGCUCUUGGUGAAAUCAUCAUUCUUCAAGCUCUUUGGAAGCUCACCAAAUUACCAGAAAUUAUGCAUCUUUGGUUGCGUGUACUACCUAUGGCUUAAUCUGUACACCAGAAACAAGCUGGAAGACAUAUCAAUACGGUGUGUGUUCUUCAGUUACAAUCCUACCCAAACUGCAUACCUUUGCUAUGAUGUUGGCGAUGAUCAAAUAUACAUCUCCAGACUUGUACAAUUUGAUUAAAGGGAGUUCCCGUUUUUGGAAUUGAGGAAGAAAUCGUCUGUAGCACUGCAGAUGAUGAUGAGUGUUUUUUUAGGGCUUUUAUUGGGGCGUAGAACAGGCGCAUCAAAGAGUUUUGCUGCCGUAUCCGGAAGAAGGUGUGGACCAUGUGUGGUUCUUUCGUAUCAGGUUUUAAAAUUUGGGUUAUGUGGGUUGGAAAGGAGUACUUCUAAUGUUACUAGAGGUUGAGGUUAUCGUUCGGUGGACCGAGGGAGACAACAAGAAACUCGUUCAGAGGCGUUUGAAGAUGUCAGGAGAUGAAAAGCAUAGUAAGCUAAUAUAAGGGUGGGUUCUUUUUUACUUUUUUCUUGUAAUUGUAGAUUUGUGUAUUUUUGUAAGUUGCCCCAGUAUGGGGUUUAAUUGCCUCUUUGUAGGGUUCUUGUUGCUAUAGAUAUCUUGUUCUUCCACCAACUUAUGUAGUAAAACUUUGUAUCAUGUA